CGUAUGACUACAACUCCCAGAUGAAAGCACAGCUCCUGCGAGCAGGCGGUGGAGACAGACCCCUGAGCAUUUUGGGACACGGAGUCUUUGCGUUGACUGUGGUUUCCGCAGGUUAAAACGCGUUACUUCAGAGUAGACUCCAGCUCCUGCCUUGGAUCCUUCGGCCUUCUGGCAUAGAUUCUUCGCUCUUCCAUCACAGACCUAUUGACCUCCUGGUGCGAACUUGCACCGGACACUGGUGAACUCCAGAUCUUGGACUGAAUCCUUUGGCCUCCUCAUCUGACUGACCGUUUGCCAGCAUUUAACACAGCACCAAGCACCUGCACAGGGGAUAACUUUCUGCUGACAAUUGCAAGCCUUUUGAAAAGCCAACAGUCCAAACUUCAUUUCCACUAAUAAAUACAGAUCUUGGCCGGGGAUUCAGCUCAGCGGCAUAAGAUUUGUUGGGCAAGUGCAAGGUUGUGAGUUCGAUCCCAGGAACCGGAAAAAAAAAAAAAUCUUAGUGUGUAUCACAGAUGAAAGCUGAAUUAAAUAUUCUGACAUGUCUUUUUAGUAUAUGUGCUGCCGAAGCGAGCACUGAGAUAUGUCUUUUUAUGUAUUUCAACCAUCUAGCUACCUCUUUGGCGCUACUACCGCGAGCCACUUAGGGUGUGUUCACUUUAAAAUGUGUGUGGGGGGCUUUGCCAGUUUUUCCUUCACAGGAAGCCAGUUUUCCAGAGAAAAAUUAGCAUCUGGAGUUUCUUCCGGCGGUUCUGCGUAGGUCCGAAUUUUCAGUUCAUCGAACUUCAACAAUUAGAAAGCAAAGUUCUAAUCCCCUGAAAAACCUAGGAAAGUUAGCAAUCCUUUUAACAAGCUUCGCGUGGUGCCCAAGAGAAACCGUGACCUCAAGAUGGCGUCGCGUAGUCAUAAGAUUCAGUAGGCUCUAAUCAAAAAUGGCAGGGUGGGGCGUGGUUUAUAGUUUGAGCCCUUCUAGCUCCCCGUUAGAACCAUCUUUUCUAUGGUUUUUCUGCAUUGAGGAGGAUGUCAGAGCCAACAGUGGAGACUAUCUAUAUGCUCUCUUCUCUAU